rnacentral:ncRNA from 19 species
UAUAAUCUUCAGGGCGGGGUGAAAUUCCCCACCGGCGGUAUAGCCCGCGAGCUGCGUGUUCAGCAUGAUUCAGUGAAAUUCUGAAGCCGACAGUAAAGUCUGGAUGGGAGAAGAUAGAA